rnacentral:rRNA from 1 species
CUUUCUUUGCUGGCGACCGGCGCACGGGUGAGUAACACGUAUCCAACCUGCCCUUUACUCGGGGAUAGCCUUUCGAAAGAAAGAUUAAUACCCGAUAGCAUAAUGAUUCCGCAUGGUUUCAUUAUUAAAGGAUUCCGGUAAAGGAUGGGGAUGCGUUCCAUUAGGCUGUUGGUGGGGUAACGGCCCACCAAGCCUUCGAUGGAUAGGGGUUCUGAGAGGAAGGUCCCCCACAUUGGAACUGAGACACGGUCCAA